rnacentral:rRNA from 1 species
UACGGAGGGUGCGAGCGUUGUCCGGAAUCAUUGGGCGUAAAGGGCGCGUAGGUGGCUUCUUAAGCGUGCGGUGAAAGCCUGGGGCUCAACCCCGGGUCGGCCGUGCGAACUGGGGGGCUGGAGCACUGUAGAGGCAGGCGGAAUUCCGGGUGUAGCGGUGGAAUGCGUAGAGAUCGGAAAGAACACCAACGGCGAAAGCACUCUGCUGGGCCGACACUGACACUGAGAGACGAAAGCUAGGGGAGCGAAUGGG